CCUGGCGGCGAUAGCGCGGUGGUCCCACCUGACCCCAUGCCGAACUCAGAAGUGAAACGCCGUAGCGCCGAUGGUAGUGUGGGGUCUCCCCAUGUG
rnacentral:rRNA from 1 species